AAUGGGAAUGAGGAUACAAUUCCACAUUUUCUGAUGUUGAAUGAUUAACAAAACAUGCACUACCAUCUGACCCAAU